ensembl:lncRNA novel transcript
GGAGUUGGAAGAAAUUAGAUUAAAGGAGAGGAAAAAAAUUAAAGGGGGAGCUGGCAUAGGACAGGAGGUAGAGACCGAGGGAGAGAUGCGCCAAGCGGUGUCUCCCGGUUCCAACUCCCCCCACACCCGCCUCGACCCUAGAAGAUCCCUCGCGCAAACCCACUGGGAUUUUGCUCUUUCCCCUACCCCGGCCCAGUGACCGACGCCGGGGUAGCUGCUGCUUCUUGAAAAAUCCCCGCAACUCCCACCCCGACACCCGUCACUACGACCCAGGGGGAGAACUUUUUGCUCGGACUCCUCGGAUCCUAAACCCAGCGAAACGGGACAUUGAGAAGCUUGUCCUAAAACCCGGAAGGCCCUUGCGGAGCAUGGAGAUCGGAUAAGGCGGGGUGCUCCCCCGGUUUUCCGAUGUGUUGCAAAUCUAAGAGCUUCUUUCUCGCUUUUUUUUUCCCUGUAACUACCCCCCCCCCCUUUUGCUUCAGGGUUGCAAAAGCAAAGAGCAAUUAAAAAAAAAAAACCGCGCACACA